UACGAAGGGGGCUAGCGUUGCUCGGAAUCACUGGGCGUAAAGGGUGCGUAGGCGGGGCUUUAAGUCAGGGGUGAAAUCCUGGAGCUCAACUCCAGAACUGCCUUUGAUACUGAAGAUCUUGAGUUCGGGAGAGGUGAGUGGAACUGCGAGUGUAGAGGUGAAAUUCGUAGAUAUUCGCAAGAACACCAGUGGCGAAGGCGGCUCACUGGCCCGAUACUGACGCUGAGGCACGAAAGCAUGGGGAGCAAACAGG
rnacentral:rRNA from 1 species